rnacentral:rRNA from 1 species
AACGAACGCUGGCGGCAGGCUUAACACAUGCAAGUCGAACGGUUGUAGCAAUACAGCAGUGGCAGACGGGUGAGUAACACGUGGGAACCUUCCUAGGGGUACGGAACAACUCAGGGAAACUUGAGCUAAUACCGUAUACGUCCGUGAGGAGAAAGAUUUAUCGCCCUUAGACGGGCCCGCGUCGGAUUAGCUAGUUGGUGGGGUAACGGCCUACCAAGGCGACGAUCCGUAGCUGAUCUUAGAGGAUGAUCAGCCACACUGGGACUGAGAUACGGCCCAGACUCCUACGGGAGGCAGCAGUGGGGAAUCUUGGACAAUGGGCGCAAGCCUGAUCCAGCCAUGCCGCGUGAGUGAAGAAGGUCUUCGGAUUGUAAAGCUCUUUUACCAGGGACGAUAAUGACGGUACCUGGAGAAUAAGCCCCGGCAAACUUCGUGCCAGCCGCCGCCGUAACAC